UACGGAGGGGGCUAGCGUUGUUCGGAAUUACUGGGCGUAAAGCGCACGUAGGCGGACUGGAAAGUCAGGGGUGAAAUCCCGGGGCUCAACCCCGGAACUGCCUUUGAAACUCCCGGUCUUGAGGUCGAGAGAGGUGAGUGGAAUUCCGAGUGUAGAGGUGAAAUUCGUAGAUAUUCGGAGGAACACCAGUGGCGAAGGCGGCUCACUGGCUCGAUACUGACGCUGAGGUGCGACAUCGUGGGGAGCAAUCAGG
rnacentral:rRNA from 1 species